UCGGGAAUUUUGGGCAAUGGGCGAAAGCCUGACCCAGCAACGCCGCGUGAAGGAUGAAGUAUUUCGGUAUGUAAACUUCGAAAGAAUAGGAAGAAUAAAUGACGGUACUAUUUAUAAGGUCCGGCUAACUACGUGCCAGCAGCCGCGGUAAUACGUAGGGACCAAGCGUUGUUCGGAUUUACUGGGCGUAAAGGGCGCGUAGGCGGCAAUUCAAGUCAUCUGUGAAAUCUCCGGGCUUAACUCGGAACGGUCAGAUGAUACUGCUUUGCUAGAGUGCAGAAGGGGCAAUCGGAAUUCUUGGUGUAGCGGUGAAAUGCGUAGAUAUCAAGAGGAACACCUGAGGUGAAGACGGGUUGCUGGGCUGGACACUGACGCUGAGGCGCGAAAGCCAGGGGAGCAAACGGGAUUAGAUACCCCCGUAGUCCCUGAGCGGGCUGGCAAGGCGCAU
rnacentral:rRNA from 1 species